rnacentral:rRNA from 1 species
UCUUCCCUCUUUCUUCGUGCCUAAUACAUGCAAGUCGAGCGAACGGACGAGAAGCUUGCUUCUCUGAUGUUAGCGGCGGACGGGUGAGUAACACGUGGAUAACCUACCUAUAAGACUGGGAUAACUUCGGGAAACCGUAGCUAAUACCGGAUAAUAUUUUGAACCGCAUGGUUCAAAAGUGAAAGACGGUCUUGCUGUCACUUAUAGAUGGAUCCGCGCUGCAUUAGCUAGUUGGUAAGGUAACGGCUUACCAAGGCAACGAUGCAUAGCCGACCUGAGAGGGUGAUCGGCCACACUGGAACUGAGACACGGUCCAGACUCCUAUGGGAGGCAGCAGUAGGGAAUCUUCCGCAAUGGGCGAAAGCCUGACGGAGCAACGCCGCGUGAGUGAUGAAGGUCUUCGGAUCGUAAAACUCUGUUAUUAGGGAAGAACAUAUGUGUAAGUAACUGUGCACAUCUUGACGGUACCUAAUCAGAAAGCCACGGCUAACUACGUG